CUUCCAGGUCGACGCCAUGUUCCUUAAACUACACGAAAAAUUACAGAUCUGGCAAAUAGCUCUGUUGAAUCCCACGUUCUUGUCAGAAAAUUCGAUUCAAUAGUCAUCGCCAUCUUCCGUUGUAACGUAUACGUAUUUGCGAAUCUAUGUAUAUACAAUCAAUCUAUGAAAAUUGAUUCAGAUUCAAUUUCAAUUCAAGAAUGCCGGGAGAAACCCUAACCCUAGCUCCGCCCGGCUUCAACCUCUUCCAGUUCCUCAAAUCACCAGAUAAAACCCUAACUUUCCAUCAAAUCUCCGUCCUCGUCAUCACAUUCGCCGCCUACGCCGCCUUCCACGCCUCUCGAAAGCCUCCCAGCAUCGUCAAGAGCAUUUUGGCCCCCCAAUCAGGCGACCACUCAACUGGGAAUGCCGCCGGCUGGCGGCCGUUCAAUGGGCCCCAUGGCGCCCACCGCCUCGGCGAGCUCGAUCUCGCCUUCCUCUCGGCCUAUGCGGCCGGAAUGUACUUCGCCGGCCACGUCGGCGACCGGAUCGAUCUACGGGUGUUCCUGACAACUGGGAUGAUGGGCAGUGGCAUUUUGACGAUGGUUUUUGGGUUUGGGUAUUGGUUAGAAGUUCAUGAUUUGGGUUUCUUUGUGUUGGUUCAGGUUGUGUGUGGAUUAUUUCAGUCAAUUGGGUGGCCUUGUGUUGUGGCUGUGGUUGGGAAUUGGUUUGGGAAGUCCAAGAGAGGGUUGAUAAUGGGGGUAUGGAAUUCGCACACUUCAGUGGGUAAUAUUAUCGGUUCAGUGGUGGCAUCUUCUGUGUUGGGUUUUGGGUGGGGUUGGUCCUUUGUGUUUCCUGGGAUUUUCAUUAUAUUGGUGGGGAUUGUGGUUUAUUUGUUUCUUGUUGUGAAUCCUGAGGAUGUUGGAUUGGAGUUGCCGGGAAAGGAGAUCGAGAUGAAUGUGGAGGGAGUGCCAUUAGUUGAUGCGGAGGAACUUGAGUCUGGUGAAGCAGGGCUGCAUCAAUCUCAGAAUUCAGAUUCUUUGGCUGCAAUUGGGUUUUUGGAGGCGUGGAGAUUGCCGAAUGUGGCACCAUUUGCAUUCUGUCUGUUCUUCUCUAAGCUUGUGGCUUACACUUUCUUAUACUGGUUGCCCUUCUACAUAAGGCACACUGCUGUUGCAGGUGUGCAUUUUUCACACAAAAAUGCUGGCAUCCUUUCCACAAUAUUUGAUAUUGGAGGGGUUAGCGGUGGUGUUCUCGCAGGGUAUAUUUCUGAUAUGAUUGAAGCUCGUGGUGUUACUUCAGUUAUAUUCUUGUUGCUGUCCAUUCCUGCCCUAGUUGCUUACCGCUCUUAUGGAAGCAUAUCUAUGUUUGCCAAUAUUGUGCUGAUGUUUCUAUCUGGGUUGCUUGUAAAUGGGCCAUAUGCACUCAUAACCACUGCAGUUGCAGCUGAUCUUGGUACACAGAGCUUGAUUAAGGGCAACUCCCGUGCUUUAGCUACUGUGACCGCAAUUAUAGAUGGUACUGGGUCCAUUGGGGCCGCUCUUGGCCCACUUUUAGCAGGUUAUAUUUCAACUAGAGGAUGGAACAGCGUGUUUUUUAUGCUUAUUGUUUCUAUCUCUUUUGCGGCUUUGCUCUUGAUUAAUGUUGUCAAAACUGAGAUUAAAGGGAAGCUAAGUGAAGGAAAAUUACUGGGGCUGGGCACAAGCAUAGCAGCACAAUGAGGGGGGAUUUUAUCUGGAGUUCAAAUUGUAUUACUUUACUCGUACUGAAGAAAUAACCAAUGUUGGUCCUGCUAAGCUGUGAUGAGGGGAGGGGUGGACAGCUUGCAGAAUCAGUGGUGGUUCAAGUAUUCAUUCACUUCUUCAGUGUAUAUUAUUAGGAAAUGGCUUCCUACAGCAGAUAGAGCUUUGGCAGCAGACUUUAUAGAGCUACAAUACGCGUAUGGCUUUUGUAUCUUAUUAAGAUGUUAACUUACACAUACUGAACAUUGAUUAGGGAUUUUUUCUGAGCAUAUUGUAACAAAUUUUGUAUUGCUUAUUCAUACCUAGAUAAAAACUUUGCUUGUUUUGGUCCCAAGAAGAUGAUUCACCCCCUUUAAUGAAGAGAUAUUGUGGACUGAAAGCCAUGGAAGAAUUAGAGCUCCGAUGAAACUGAAAAGAUAACCUAAGCGUCUGAAAGCUCUCACCAAUCUGUUGAACCUGAGGAAUAAGGAGCAGGUUGAUGAAAUCUUGGAGGGCCAAAUUACCAUUGCCAUAAGCAUAUAUGGUAUCUCAUUCUUCAUCUGAAGUGAGCUGUUUGAAGCAUUAGAAAUGACAUUGAGUACAAGCUGGUACCAUUGCCCCAAACCAACAAGAGCAGCUGUUUCAUUGGUUGCUUCCUUGACAGGGCUGCGUUUCGAAGUAGUUGGCAAUUGGCAGUUGGAUGAAGUUCUACAAAGAAUAGAAACCGUGUUUAUUGGAAGAACUGACAUUUGGUUGACAACAGCUGCACAGCAUAUGUUCUAAAGCAUCUUAGACUUAUUUUUUUGUUGUUAUUUUUAAUGCUAGCAUGUAGUUAAGGUUCAAUAUUUUCAGAAGGAAGCUUAUCUAUGAUGGCAGGACAGUCGGGGCAGAAAAUAUUGCUUUUAUUAUUAAUUGAGAUGCACAAAUUAUGAGUUGUGUAUGUGCCUAAGGAAUAUUAUAAUUAAGGUUUAUCUUCAUUUGUACUUUUA